rnacentral:rRNA from 1 species
AGCCCGCUCAGAAACUUAAAGGAAGUUGACGGGGCCCGCACAAGCGGAGGAGCAUGUGGUUUAAUUCGAUGAUACGCGAGGAACCUUACCUGGGCUCGAACGUAAGAUGACUGUAGGUGAAAGCUUACAUCUCUUCGGAGCAUUUUACGAGGUGCUGCAUGGUUGUCGUCAGCUCGUGCCGUGAGGUGUCGGGUUAAGUCCCAUAACGAGCGCAACCCCUACUUUAGUUGCCAUCAGGUUAAGCUGGGGACUCUAAAGGAACUGCCUACGCAAGUAGUGAGGAAGGCGGGGAUGACGUCAAAUCAGCACGGCCCUUACGUCCAGGGCUACACACGUGCUACAAUGGCCGAUACAGAGGGCAGCUACCUGGUGACAGGAUGCAAAUCUCCAAAGUCGGUCUCAGUUCGGAUUGAGGUCUGCAACUCGACUUCAUGAAGCUGGAAUCGCUAGUAAUCGCAGAUCAGCCAAGCUGCGGUGAAUAUGUUCCCGGGCCUU